GACGAACGCUGGCGGCGUGCCUAACACAUGCAAGUCGAGCGGGGAUUUAAGUGGAAGUUCUUCGGAAUGGAGAUUUAAAUUCUAGCGGCGGACGGGUGAGUAACGCGUGAACAAUCUGUCCCGGACAGGGGGAUAACACUUGGAAACAGGUGCUAAUACCGCAUAAGACCACGGCCUCGCAUGGGGCUGAGGUAAAAGGAGCAAUCCGGUUCGGGGUGAGUUCGCGUCCGAUUAGCUAGUUGGUGAGGUAACGGCCCACCAAGGCGACGAUCGGUAGCCGGCCUGGGAGGGUGAACGGCCACAUUGGAACUGAGAGACGGUCCAAACUCCUACGGGAGGCAGCAGUGGGGAAUAUUGGGCAAUGGGCGAAAGCCUGACCCAGCAACGCCGCGUGAGGGAAGAAGGUUUUCGGAUUGUAAACCUCUGUCCUAUGGGACGAAGGAAGUGACGGUACCAUAGGAGGAAGCCCCGGCUAACUACGUG
rnacentral:rRNA from 1 species